AUACUCUCAGUUGACAGAAUUUAAGAUUAUCUUACAGUCUUUCAUUCAUACGAUUGAUAAUAAAACUAAUUUGUUGAUAGUGUAUAGCAUUUAGAAAACAGAAUGUGUCACAACCUAAUGUAAAAAAUACUGAUAACAUUAUUAUCACAACACAAUAGUUAUUUUGUGCAUCAUAUCAAUAGAAUUUGACUCACACUAUCUGUGUUCUCCAUCUGAAGGUUCUUAGGAGUGUUGAAUAACAUUGUGUUGAAGCCAUCUGUCAGUUGAUUGUAAUCAGAAUGCUGACAGUGUAGUUAGAAUGUGACACAUUAUGUUGCCUUUGGCAAGUAGCUGCUCCCUACGCAUAUGUUAAGUUAAACAUGUUAUCAGGAUAAGGAAAGUGGAAACAAAAUGAUAAAAGUAUUGAUAAUAAUCUAGGUAGAUAUAAAAUGUUAGUGGUACUGAUGACAUUUCAAUAGACAUUGUUAUCACACGACAGACAGUACAGACACUGAGUUCUACUAUUAAAGUCCAAGUAUAAUCAUUGCCUGUUCCAUAUCUUGGUUAUAUUAUCUUCAUUUUAUUACCAAUCAUGAUUUGUAGGUUAUUCCAUGGAACACAAACACCUUGAGAAUGAAUGUAAUGCUUGUAAAUGAAACAGAAUAAACAUACCAAGUAGUUACACAGAAAACUAUAUUUGCAGUCCAAAUGUCAGUGACUAUAGUGUACCAUAUAGGUUUCUGUUAUUAUUACUCACAACCAGAUCAUAACCAGUCUUAUUUAUGCAUAAUGAACAACUCAAUUUUAAUGUGUUAAAAAUUUAUAUUUGUGGUCUUUAUAUAGACGAUGAGUUUUAGUAAUAAUAUUAAUAUUGAAUACCAUAUUUCUAUGCACCUUGAACAAAUAUUUUACAAUGAAACUAAAAUAGACUUGUAAACAUCAAAUGUCACCUGUGUCAUUGUCUGUACUGUGUUGUAGAUGGGCAAAGUAUUCCUUUAGCUCAAAGAUAACUGUCUGUUGCAAAUGUGUACUCUAAAUGUUCAGAAUGUUUUAGGGCAUUACCCUUUACAAGCAUUAUUUUGAUACAGAUAAGUAAAAACAUUGAAAUGUUGACUUUUUAUACUUUCUGUUAUCAAAAUAUUUGUUUGUAUUACUUGAAACACAUUGUGAAUCAAGAACACCUUUCUCGCUUGAUAACUGAUUAUUCAUGCAAACAAAAGAAUGCUGCAGUGCAAUGACCUCCUCCUACCUAAAUACUUGUUUACUAUUUUAAAGUUAUCAGAAAUUAUCAAUAGCAGAGUUGAAAAACAUGAUAUACCCAACCCAAUGAGUACUGUUAUAAGCUUAUCUUGUUCAAAUUAUAAUAAGAAAAAGAAAUAACAUUUAUUCAACAACAACAAUACUAUUCUAGCUAAAUAAAAAGACAUUAUUGUAGUACACAUUCCAAUAUACCUAGAUUAUAUUUUAAAGCAAAGUCCAUAGAUUAUCUCAAUCAGCUGAGACCUAAUCAGCACAACAGAUCAGUGAAAAUGUCAACAUAAACUAAGUAGGUAGUUACCUAAUUAUGAAAGAAAGAAACCGUAGAUGUAGAAAAUUCUCAAUUUAUAUAUUUUUACUGAUAAAUGUAUGCUAUCUAAACAAAAAGAUUUAAAGUACCUCUAAACAUACUAUAAAAGUACUAAAUUGAUUUGUAGAACUUAAUUAUUAUUAACUUAACUAUAGAUAACUUUUAGUAAGUUUAUGAAUUAAAUAAAAAUUUACUACAAACCUUAUAAUACAGGAGUGCAUUUCUUUACAUAUUUCUAUAUUUACCAAUUUAUUAUGUUGUAUUUAUUUCUUUAUUAUCCGUUUAAAAUCAACCACAAUUUUUAUUGUAAUGUUAAUCAAUUUAAAUGCAAUUAACUGUAAUUUUAUUUCAAUUUAUAUUACAAUUAACUAAUUAAUUGAAAUCAAUAAUAGCUGCCACAUAUCAACUCGUAAAUUGGCUAAUAAAUUCUUCUAUGCAAAAUUCUAUUAUUGCUCGAGGUAAAAUUAAUUAAUAUUGGUUUGAUAAAGUAUUAUCCUACAGUGACUAAGUAUUCAAAUUCCAUGUUUCAGUAAUAGGGAAAUGCUGAUUUAAGUAAAUAAACACAAAUGUUAGACAGUUUCUGAUGUAAUUAGAUAAAUAUGAUGACUCAGUCAGUAUGUUUAUAAUGUAACUUACUCAGCUGCAUACACAUUAUGUUCUAAAGGUGCAAAGUUCAAUUAAAAGGUAGACAUAACAUGAAGUACACUCAAUGACAAUAAAAUUAUUACUUAAAUGUUGUACAUAAGGCUAAGCACAUACAUAUUCUAUACCUAUUACAUGGAUUGACAAUCCAACUAUUUAGUAUAGUACUAAUUGGGUUAAUUCCAUUUCUUAAACAUUGUGGUUUUCCCUUAUUUUACAUAGGUAAAUCCUAAAGAAAUGUAACUACUGCUCAGUGUUUAUAUAAUUUGAUGCUUAUGCUGGUACCACAAGGUGCAUUCUAUAUGAUGUUAGUUACCAUAAUUUUUGGUAUACAAAAUCCUCAAUUUUCCUUAAAUAAUAUGUUUAUGUCUAAUGAGGCAUUAAGAAUAUAAGGAAAAUUAAAACUCACUAUCU